CCUACGGGAGGCAGCAGUGGGGAAUUUUGGACAAUGGGCGCAAGCCUGAUCCAGCAAUGCCGCGUGAGUGAAGAAGGCCUUCGGGUUGUAAAGCUCUUUUGUCAGGGAAGAAACGGUGGGAGCUAAUAUCUCCCGCUAAUGACGGUACCUGAAGAAUAAGCACCGGCUAACUACGUGCCAGCAGCCGCGGUAAUACGUAGGGUGCAAGCGUUAAUCGGAAUUACUGGGCGUAAAGCGUGCGCAGGCGGUUUUGUAAGUCUGUCGUGAAAGCCCCGGGCUCAACCUGGGAAUUGCGAUGGAGACUGCAAGGCUUGAAUCUGGCAGAGGGGGGUAGAAUUCCACGUGUAGCAGUGAAAUGCGUAGAGAUGUGGAGGAACACCGAUGGCGAAGGCAGCCCCCUGGGUCAAGAUUGACGCUCAUGCACGAAAGCGUGGGGAGCAAACAGGAUUAGAUACCCUGGUAGUCCACGCCCUAAACGAUGUCUACUAGUUGUCGGGUUUUAAUUAACUUGGUAACGCAGCUAACGCGUGAAGUAGACCGCCUGGGGAGUACGGUCGCAAGNUUAAAACGUCAAAGGAAUUGACGG
rnacentral:rRNA from 1 species